AACGAACGCUGGCGGCAGGCUUAACACAUGCAAGUCGAACGCCCCGCAAGGGGAGUGGCAGACGGGUGAGUAACGCGUGGGAAUCUACCCAGAUCUUCGGAACAACUGAGGGAAACUUCAGCUAAUACCGGAUACGCCCUACGGGGGAAAGAUUUAUCGGUUCUGGAUGAGCCCGCGUUGGAUUAGCUAGUUGGUGGGGUAAUGGCCUACCAAGGCGACGAUCCAUAGCUGGUCUGGGAGGAUGAUCAGCCACACUGGGACUGAGACACGGCCCAGACUCCUACGGGAGGCAGCAGUGGGGAAUAUUGGACAAUGGGCGAAAGCCUGAUCCAGCCAUGCCGCGUGAGUGAUGAAGGCCUUAGGGUUGUAAAGCUCUUUCAGUGGGGAAGAUAAUGACGGUACCCACAGAAGAGGCCCCGGCUAACUUCGUGCCAGCAGCCGCCGUAAUAC
rnacentral:rRNA from 1 species